rnacentral:rRNA from 1 species
GAUGAACGCUGGCGGCGUGCCUAAUACAUGCAAGUCGAGCGAACGGACGAGAAGCUUGCUUUUCUGAUGUUAGCGGCGGACGGGUGAGUAACACGUGGAUAACCUACCUAUAAGACUGGGAUAACUUCGGGAAACCGGAGCUAAUACCGGAGAAUAUUUUGAACCGCAUGGUUCAAAAGUGAAUGACGGUCUUGCUGUCACUUAUAGAUGGAUCCGCGCUGCAUUAGCUAGUUGGUAAGGUAACGGCUUACCAAGGCAACGAUGCAUAGCCGACCUGAGAGGGUGAUCGGCCACACUGGAACUGAGACACGGUCCAGACUCCUACGGGAGGCAGCAGUAGGGAAUCUUGCGCAAUGGGCGAAAGCCUGACGGAGCAACGCCGCGUGAGUGAUGAAGGUCUUCGGAUCGUAAAACUCUGUUAUUAGGGAAGAACAGAUGUGUAAGUAAAUGCGCACAUCUUGACGGUACCUAAUCAGAAAGCCACGGCUAACUACGUG